CUAAUACUCCCUUCGUUCGGAAUUACUCGUCCAAGAAAUAAAUGUAUCUAGAUGUAUUUUAGUUGUAGAUACAUCCAUUUUUAUGACAAGUAAUUCUGAACGAAGGGAGUAGUAC
rnacentral:pre_miRNA from 1 species